AGAGUUUGAUCCUGGCUCAGAAUCAACGCUGGCGGCGCGCUUAACACAUGCAAGUCGCACGAGAAAGUGGAGCAAUCCAUGAGUAAAGUGGCGUACGGGUGAGUAACACGUGGAUCAUCUACCUCUUGGUGGGGAAUAACCCGGGGAAACCUGGGCUAAUACCGCAUAAGCCUGCGAAGGGAAAGCAGCAAUGCGCCGAGAGAGGAGUCCGCGGCCGAUUAGCUAGUUGGUAGGGUAAUGGCCUACCAAGGCAAUGAUCGGUAGCCGGCCUGAGAGGGCACACGGCCACACUGGCACUGAAACACGGGCCAGACUCCUACGGGAGGCAGCAGUGGGGAAUCUUGCACAAUGGAGGAAACUCUGAUGCAGCGACGCCGCGUGAGCGAUGAAGCCCUUCGGGGUGUAAAGCUCUUUCGACGGGAACGAUAAUGACGGUACCCGGAGAAGAAGCUGCGGCUAACUACGUGCCAGCAGCCGCGGUAAUACGUAGGCAGCAAGCGUUGUUCGGAAUUACUGGGCGUAAAGAGUGUGUAGGCGGUUCUCUAUGUUCGGUGUGAAAUCUCCCGGCUUAACUGGGGAGGGUGCG
rnacentral:rRNA from 1 species